CGCACGUUACAAAUCUACUACAGAAAAAUACUUUGCACAUCUACAACGUGAGACAGGUGCGUCAGAGGGGAACAAGCAGGUCCAAAGUU